rnacentral:snRNA from 1 species
GUGCUUGCUUCGGCAGCACAUAAUGCUAAAAUUGGAAUGAUACAGAGAAAAUUAGCAUGGUCCUUGUGCAUGGAUGACACAUAAAUUUGUAUUCCAUAUUUUA